GCUAAAAAUCUAGCUCUACCUCUCCGCAUGCGUCCCCUCCUCCAUCCCUCAUAACUAAAACAUUUUUACAGUUUAGUAAAGGAGAUUGAAAAACUCAUUGAAGCAAUAUAACUUGUACCGCAAGGGAAAGAUGAAAUAUUAAUGAAAAUCCUUAAAGCAAAAAAAAGUAGAGAUUUCCCCUCGUACCUUUUGCAUCAUGGUUCAACUAGUCUAAUCAAGCAAAAAGCAUUACAGUUUGACCCCCCGAAACUAGACGAGCUACUUCAGGGCAGCUUUAUGAGCCAACCCGUCUCUGUGGUAAAAGAGUGGGAAGACCUUCAAGUAGAGGUGAUAUACCUAACGAGUCUAGUGAUAGCUGGUUACUCGAGAAAAGGAUUUAAGUCCACCCUAGAGUCCUCCUGAUAAACUAAAAUCCCUGACUUUAGAGCAAUUCAAAUAAGGUACAGCCUAUUUGAAAUAGGAUACAACCUCGCCAGACGGGUAAAAUUUUUGCCGACCCACCAAGUAGGCCUAAAAGCAGCCACCUUAUUAAAAGCGUCACAGCUUAGUCUUCUCAAUCCUCUAAUCCCCUGCUACAAUUUUAACCCUCCUACACUACCGAGUAAUCCUAUACUAUUAUAGAAUAUUUUAUGUUGAAACUAGUAAUAAGAAGAAAGACCUUCUCUUAAAUGCAAAUAUAAAUCAGAAAGGACAAACCACUGAUAAUUAACGCCUAUGACCUCCAUUAAGCAACCCCCCCCCAAGAAAACCCUAAUAACCACUCACGUUAACCUAACACAAGAGCAUUUCAAGAAAGAUUAAAAGGGGAAGAAGGAACUCGGCAAAUAUUGACCCCGCCUGUUUACCAAAAACAUCGCCUCUUGAAUAAAAAUAAGAGGUCCAGCCUGCCCAGUGACAAAUGUUUAACGGCCGCGGUAUCCUAACCGUGCAAAG
rnacentral:rRNA from 1 species